CAAGGAGAAGAGGGGCGAACAGGGGAUUCUCCAAACCCUAGUUUUACACUAAAAUCUGCAAAAUUGAAGCCUCAAAUCCGUUCCGAAUCAAGUUCUAAACACAAAUUAGCAAACCCCUUGUUGUAAGGAUCAAAAGGCAAAGAGUCCGGAUCGUCAAGCGGACAAGCCGAAGGGAAUUCACGGGGAAAGGGCGUGCUCUAAAGUUUUCAGGUACCCAAGUAAAAGGAUGAUGAUCAAGCAAUCAAGUCGAACCGAACACACAAUACAACGCUUCCGCACUUGAUCUUUUGUUUUGUUAUUAUGUAAACACUGUAGUUUUACCUUGAACAUCGUUUGGUAGGUUAAACAUGUGAAUGUUGUAACUAGUUGGUUUUCAAAUCUUGAAAGUUUUUGUAAACUCUGAAGUUUUGGCACGAAAUGUAAGGUUCUAUCUUAUAAAA